GGUAUGCUCUCGCUUAACCUUGGAUUCCCUCCGAAUACUGGAAUUGGUGUUAAUAUCCUUUUCCGGCCUGUUGUAGCGCAGCAGUCUGUUUAAUUCUGCCAUUGCGGAGAGAGGUGUUCGUGGUAUCUCCACCAAUGAGAGUAUAGUGCCUCCGGUCCUGGGGGUUCACUGCUGUACUCACCUCUCCAUGUGAAGGAGGACGAGCCAGUGGCCCUGGGACCUCAGGUGGUGGGUCGUUUUCACACUUUCUUUUGUACAGCACUGGGUGGUCUGCAGUGAUUCUUUUGGUGUGAUUUUCUUUUGGUUCCACGGCUGCUGGUAAGUCCAAGUUCCACGAUUGUUUAUUUUUACUGUAGGACACUGUCAAUAAUGACGCUACAUCUUGACUUUUAAUAUUUUAUUUAUAAAAUAUUAUUUAUAAUAUUUUAUUUAUUUCUAUAAAUAAAACUGUUUUAAUAUUGGAAGCCAACCUGCCUCAGUGUGCAUCCUUGAAUCUGUGCGGUCUUCUUUUAUUCCUUUUAUUUAUUUUUCUUAAAUAUAUUUCCUGGGGGUGUAAUUCCCCUAGGUGGCGUUGUCAAGUUUAUUUAUUUUGUGCA